UAUUUGUUUUCUUCUGCAGAUGUAAAGUACUGCGUCACAGCUGACCGCUUUCCGCUGGACUCACGUGCCUUGUGGAGUCGUGAUGGGAUCCACCUGAGUGACGAUCUGGGGAUGCCGCUUCUCGCGAAGCUUCUGUGGCACUUCUCCUUUCAGCAGCUACAGUCACCUCUGCCUGUUACACCACCGCCUGUGUCUCCUCCCAAGUCACCCCCGACUGUGAGACCCUUUGCUACCACCGUGGUUGUGAAGGGAGAGGUUUCACGUCCACGUCCCCUUGACCCCUUCAAGGAAACUGUCGUCGGACGUCGCGGAAAGCGCAGCCAACCUGAGUCCUGG